UACGGAGGGUGCGAGCGUCGUUCGGAAUUAUUGGGCGUAAAGCGCGUGUAGGCGGUCUUUUAAGUCUGAUGUGAAAGCCCCGGGCUCAACCUGGGAAGUGCAUUGGAAACUGAGAGACUUGAAUACGGGAGAGGGUAGUGGAAUUCCUAGUGUAGGAGUGAAAUCCGUAGAUAUUAGGAGGAACACCGGUGGCGAAGGCGGCUACCUGGACCGAUAUUGACACUGAGACACGAAAGCGUGGGGAUCAAACAGG
rnacentral:rRNA from 1 species